rnacentral:rRNA from 1 species
GACGAACGCUGGCGGCGUGCUUAACACAUGCAAGUCGAACGGAAAGGCCUCUUUCGGGGGGUCCUCGAGUGGCGAACGGGUGAGUAACACGUGAGUAACCUGCCCUUUACUUUUGGAUAACUUCAGGAAACUGGGGCUAAUAGCGGAUAGGAGCUCCUGCUGCAGGGUGGGGGCUGGAGAGUUUCGGCGGUUGGGGGUGGGCUCGCGGCUUAUCGGCUUGUGGGUGGGGUAGUGGCUUACCAAGGCUUUGGCGGGUAGCCGGCCUGUGGGGGUGACCGGCCAUCCUGGCACCGACAGGCGGCACCGAUUCCGACGGGAGGACGAUGUGGGGAAGCUUGCUCAAUCGGUGCCAGCCGGAUGCAGCAACGCCGCGUGUGGGAGGACGGUUUUGUGGUUGAAAACCGGUUUCGCUCAUGACGCAGCCUUGUGUGACGGUAGUGGGUAAAGAAGCACCGGCUAACUACGUG